CCCGCUGAACUUAAGCAUA
rnacentral:rRNA from 1 species